rnacentral:rRNA from 1 species
UACGGAGGAUCCAAGCGUUAUCCGGAAUUACUGGGCGUAAAGAGUUGCGUAGGUGGCAUAGUAAGUAGAUAGUGAAAGCGUGGGGCUCAACCUCAUAUCCAUUAUCUAAACUGCUAAGCUAGAGGGCGAGAGAGGUAACUAGAAUUCCUUGUGUAGGAGUGAAAUCCGUAGAUAUAAGGAGGAAUACCGAUGGCGUAGGCAGGUUACUGGCUCGUCCCUGACACUAAGGCACGAAAGCGUGGGUAGCAAACGGG